CAAAUCACAUUAAAACAAAAGUCUGCAUGUUUCGUAUGCUGCAAACUGCUCACAUAGCAUCCCGUGAAUGUUUGAAAAGUCCACCUACCUGGCUGAAGAUGGUACUUUUUUUUACUUACAGAUUUAAAGCUCUCAGCGGCAAAUCAUAUUAAAACAAAAGUCUGCAUGUUUCGUAUGCGGCAAACUGCUCACAUAGCAUCCCGUGAAUGUUUGAAAAGUCCACCUACCUGGCU